GACGGAGGGUGCAAGCGUUGCUCGGAAUCAUUGGGCGUAAAGGGUGCGUAGGCGGCUUGGUCAGUCUGGCGUGAAAGCCCAGGGCUUAGCCUUGGAAGGGCGCUCGAAACUGCCAAGCUGGAGUGCCGGAGGGGAGAGUGGAAUUCCUGGUGUAGCGGUGAAAUGCGUAGAGAUCAGGAGGAAUACCGGUGGCGAA
rnacentral:rRNA from 1 species